ensembl:lncRNA
AUGCUGUAUGAUCACACUGUUAGGGCAAGAGGGGUAACGAACAGCACGGUUUGCAAUAUUGAAUUGAUUGCUUCAGGGAACAGAUCUGUGUUAGAGAUAACUGGCAGCGCACAAAGCCAUUUCCUACCUGCGCCUAUGGAGCGGCUGCUCAGGCUUUGCUGGCAGGAAAAAGCAAAAGGAGCUUCUGUGAAGCUGAAGUGGCUGAGCCCAUCCGGGCUGAAGGGCUCUUAUCUCACAUUUCUGAGUUGGUAUUCAGAGAGUGUCAGCCAACCUGGAGCAUUAUCCUGGUCUUCAGCAACGUGGUGUUUGGAUUGGCCUUCCAGCAGUGCUGCCAAUUGGGGCACUGCUAUCCUCCUCAGCUGCUACAUGGCAAUGAAGACAUGGGGAUCUGGAUCUUCAGAGAUGGUUGGAUAAGCCUGAAAUACUGAGAGACAGUGUCUUGAUUUGAUUUCUGAUGUAAGUACAGUGGAGAUUAAAACAACUGCAGUAGCAUAAAUCUCUAGCUUCUAUCUAUUACUCUGAGUCCAUUCACUCUGAGCAGACUCACUUUGCUGGCCUUUGGCCAAGUCUGUCAUGGGGAAGAAUCAUGUUGUAAAGAAAUAGCAUCCUGACUCUGUAGGAUGCUGUUUGAUCUUGCCUAUAUCGACGGGGCUAAGCCAUACUGUGACAGCAUUAUGGCAAUGUGCUGCAGCCUUUUGAAGAUCAGGGUGUUUUCUUCAUCUGUAUAAGUUGUAAUCCUUGUUGGAAAGAGAAAUGUCCUGGGUGGAGGCACAGAAACAGAGAAAUCAUGGUAAAACAGAACUAGACUAGGGGAGAACUUACAUACAGAGAUAUUCCUAAGGAGGCUUUUCUUGCUUGAGCCCAGUUCCAGGCCUUAACACAGCAUCUGUGUAUCAGUGCUGUUCUCACACCCAGUCCACAAUGAUGGUGUGCCACCUCACCUCCUCCUGAGGUUUAAUUGUUAUAUCUUGGAUGCAGCAGUGGAAAAACAAAACCUCAAACUCAGAGCUGUCUUUAUCUUGUAUCCUGCCUCUGAGUUUGCUCAGCUGCUCUAGAUCCUCUCUUACGGGUGAAGAAAGUAAAGGGCUAUGAAUGUUGGUGAACCGGUAGCAUUUAUUUAAUCAAUACGUAGAUUUGUGCCUCUUCAUUUCAGACAAACACUGUAAGCUUAAUGUAAGCUUAAAAAUUCAGGAGGCAGCGUCACAUGUUACCUAUAGGAAGUAGCAAAAAAACCCUCAAAAGUACAAACAAAAAAAAAAAACCACGCACAGAAGCUUCCAUUUUCACGUUCAGAAGAAGUAUGCAGGUGCACCAAAGAGUCAAGGAGGACCGGAGUGAUGAUAACUCAUACAUGGGUAUAAGAGAUGUCAGAGGAGCUUUUCAGACUCUCCUCUGCCCUUGGACUUUAGCUCUUUGCCCAUCACCAACCUAUCAGUGAAAAAGGGUAGCUGCAAAGUAGCUUUGAAGCAAGGGAACCAGGAGUCUAGUGGCCACCAAGUUGAACAUGAGCCAGCAGUGUGCCCUUCCCACAAAGAAUGCCAACAGUAUCCUGGGCUACUUUAGGCAAAGUAUUGCCAGCAGUUCGAAAGAGGUGAUCCUUUCCAUCUGCUCAGCGCUGGUGAGACUACAUCUGAAUUACUGUGCCCAGACCUGGGCUCCUCAGUGCAAGAGAGAUGUGGACAUACUGAAGACAGUCCAGAGAAGAGCUGCAACAGUGAUGAAGAGAUUGGAGCAUCUCUCUUGUAAGGAUAGGCUGAGACCUCAGACUGUUCAGCCCAGAGAGGACGCUUGGGUGGAUCUCACCAAUGUUUGUAAAUUUCUGAAGGAAGGGUGCAGAGAGAACAGACAGCCUCUUUUCAGUGGUGCCUGGUGCCAGGACAAGAGACAGUGGGCACAAACUGAAAUAGAAUAGUUUCCUCUGAACAUCAUGAAGUGCUUCUGUUCUGUUUGUGUAAAAGAGCACUGGCAAAGGAUGCUGGUGGCUGUGGAGCCUCCUCCUUAAAGAUCUCCAAAAGCUGCCUGGACAUGGUCCUGGGUCUCCUGCUCUGGGUGUCCCUGCUGGAGCAGGGCUUGGGCCAGAGGACCUCUAGACAUCCCUUUCAACCACUCUGAUUUUUCACAUGUUGAUACUUUAGCCCUGUAGAACCAAAUAAGAUGGAACCAACUCUGGUUCUCUUUCAGCUGAGAGAUACUGCAAAUAUCUGAGUUAUGAGUAUGUAGCAUAUGAGCAGCCUGGUAGUGCCUACUAUCCUACUACCCCAUGAGGCAAAGUAUUUGAUCUUAUCCCUAUGGUCUCCAUUUACAACUGAACAGACUGUAAUCCUGAAUGUCAUUCUUGCUUUGCACAAAGACUCAAAGGUUUAUUUUGCCCAAGUAAUAGUGUCCAAUAAAGAUUGUGUCUAUAUUUGUCUCA